UAAUUUCACAAAUAAUAUACAAAAUUGUUAAUUAAUCUAAAUGUAUCUAAAUAAAGACAAUAGCAAAAUAUCAUAUUGACAAGUGCGCAUGAAUGGUAUGGUUAUUUAUUAGGUCUUCUACAAAUCACCGAGUCGUUAUUUAUUGCAAUACUUGUAAGUCUGAAAUAUAAUUGAUGUUUUGCGUACGAUUACCUAAAUUAUUGUUCGCAUUAUUCGUAUUUGUUCAAUGUAUGGCGAGUAGUAUACAUGUUUAUGGCGUGAAUUGUCAAUUUUUGUUGGUGUAGUGCGUUUUUAAUGUGUGCACGCACCACAAACCAUAAGAGGAAAUUUGGUGAAAUUUGUGGGAGGCUGAGGAUUAUUUGCUUAUUACACCUAUGGCAAUUAUUUAUUUCAA